AUGGGUGUAGGCGGGGCUGGCGGAAACAUGGCGGCGCAAGCGAGCGCCGCUGAGCUCCCAGACGCGGGGGCUCCUCGGCCCUCCGUGUGUCUGUUGGUUUUGGGAAUGGCAGGAUCCGGGAAAACCACUUUUGUACAGAGGCUCACAGGGCACCUGCAUAGACAAAGCUCUCCACCGUAUGUGAUAAACCUGGACCCAGCUGUACAUGAAGUGCCCUUUCCUGCCAACAUUGAUAUUCGUGACACUGUGAAGUAUAAAGAAGUCAUGAAACAAUACGGACUUGGGCCCAAUGGUGGCAUAGUGACCUCGCUCAAUCUCUUUGCUACCAGAUUUGAUCAGGUGAUGAAAUUUAUUGAGAAAGCCCAGAACACUUCCAAGUAUGUCUUGAUUGACACACCUGGACAGAUCGAAGUGUUCACCUGGUCAGCUUCUGGGACAAUCAUCACCGAGGCGCUGGCAUCCUCGUUUCCAACAGUAGUCAUCUAUGUGAUGGACACAUCGCGAAGCACUAACCCAGUGACCUUCAUGUCCAAUAUGCUGUACGCAUGCAGCAUCCUGUACAAAACCAAGCUGCCUUUUAUUGUAGCCAUGAACAAAACAGACAUCAUUGACCACAGCUUUGCCGUGGAAUGGAUACAGGAUUUUGAGGCUUUCCAAGAUGCCUUGAAUCAAGAAACUACAUAUGUCAGUAACCUCACUCGAUCCAUGAGUCUGGUGCUAGAUGAGUUUUACAGCUCACUGAGGGUGGUGGGUGUGUCUGCUGUUCUGGGCACCGGCUUCGAUGAGCUCAUGGUGCAGGUCACCAGUGCUGCAGAAGAAUAUGAAAGGGAGUAUCGUCCUGAAUAUGAACGCCUGAAGAAAUCACUGGCCAGUGCACAGACUCAGCAGCAGAAGGAACAACUGGAACGCCUUCGGACAGACAUGGGCUCCGUAGCCUUGGAUGCAGGGACCGCCAGAGACAGUGCAUCUUCCACGCUGGACCCUUCUGACUUGAUCCUGACUCGGGGAACCUUGGGUGAAGAGGAUGAAGAUGCUGAUAGUGACACUGACGAUAUUGAUCACAGAGUUACAGAGGAAAGCCACGAAGAGCCAGCAUUUCAGAACUUUAUGCAAGAAUCAAGGGCACAGUACUGGAAGAGAAACAAGAAAUAAACCUUUAGGAAACUUCACUUGCUUCCACAAGUCCUGGAUUCUGGACUUUCAUGUGAAUAAACUGUGCUUACCUGUGAC